UACGAAGGGGGCUAGCGUUGCUCGGAUUUACUGGGCGUAAAGGGCGCGUAGGCGGACGACCAAGUUGGGGGUGAAAGCCCGGGGCUCAACCUCGGAAUUGCCUUCAAAACUGGUCGUCUAGAGUUUGGGAGAGGUGUGUGGAACUCCGAGUGUAGAGGUGAAAUUCGUAGAUAUUCGGAAGAACACCAGUGGCGAAGGCGACACACUGGCCCAAUACUGACGCUGAGGCGCGAAAGCCAGGGGAGCGAACGGG
rnacentral:rRNA from 1 species